GCAGGGCUGGGCGGGGGAACUGUCACCCAUGGCCGGGAGGGCGUCUGGCGGUCUGUGAGGGCCGGUAUACCUCCCCUUUGCCCUCUCUCGACAUUUUGGGGUGUUUUUCGCUCUAUCACCUCAUCUUCUCAUCGCUAGCGGGCUCAGACGGGCAUCGGGGUGGAGGUCGCGGCUCUUCACACGCCGAGCGCCGCCUGAGGAGUGCUCUGUGUGUUGGGAGCCUCCCGAGGGCCCCCGCCCGCCAUUUUCUCUCCCUCAGGAUGCUCCUGUGUUGGCGAGCGCUGCGGUUUCCCUCAUCUUCCCCGCUGCGACUGCCUCACGCCAACACACCUAAGAGCUUGAGGCUGGGUAAUUUUCUAACUUAAAGGGAAAAUAACACAAAUUAAGCUGUUCCCGCUUAGGCGGCCGUUCAGGGUAAAGCCCUCGCCGCUCUGCCCACCAGCCCCAGGGGAAGGAGCAGAGCUGGACUCGCUGCUGGAGAAGGUCCCCCGUAGCUUUAUUUGCUGCAGGACCCACUGAAAUCAUCCUCAGCUUUAACAACACCACAGGCUACUUGGAAUGCAAAAGAUCUAUGUAAAUAUACCCUCUGGUUGCAGGUGCUGUGUGUGGAAAAAGAAGAAAUUAUAAGGGAGGGGAAGCUGAAUUGUAAAGGUUAAGAAACUUCUCAGGUUCACAAAGCAAGCAGUGGCAAGAUGAGGAAUAAACCCACGGUCUGGCCUCCUGUUCGAGCCACUAGACCUUGUGUUCCUCCACACUCAUGCAAGUUACAGUAAAUGCAUUAUGAGUAAACUGCGGGCAGGUGAAGGAGGUGUCAUUUACAGAAGAAGAAAAAGGAAAAUCACUAAAGGGAAUCAGCUUGGAUAUGUCUCAGAUUUUUCAGAUGUCCAACUGAAUUCCCUUCAGUUGCGCUCCAGUACGACUCAAGGUCAAGUUGUGCAGGCUCCUGGUAGUUCUUUGUGUUCUCCUGGGAGAUCUCUGGAAUUGAAAGGAGGUGCCCAAAACUGAGCUCUGUUCUUCACGAAAGCCUUUUUUGAGCUCAGUGGAGCAGAAGAAUUAUUUCGCUCUCGUCUUUUACAGCCUUUUCCUACGUUUCAGUAGCAUAGUCACAUUUUUUGUGGUGACUCAUUUUCUAUUUGUGAACUGCUAUGAACCAAGAUUUUCUGUAAAGUGACUGCUUUGCCACUUUGUCUUCAGCUCACAGUUUUGCAGCCAAUUAUUCCCAGCUAUAUGUAACAGUUUCUCACCUUAUUGAAUUACAUCCUGUUUAGUUCAGAUCUUUGUUCCAACUUGUCAUGAUUUGUUCAAUUCUAAUUACAUCUUCCAAAAUGCUUAGAGCUCCCGCCUGAACAGGAUAUCCUUCACAAAUAUGAUAAAAAUAUUCCCUACCCUCUUGCCUCACAGAAGGAGUUCAGGACUUGGGAUGUGAGCAUAUGGAGGACUCUCUGCAAACUUGACACUAUUUCUAAGCGCCAUUUUGUAACCAUUUCACUUAAGUGUUGUGUAGCCAGCUUCUUGACCUUGCUUCAUCAGAAGCCUUGCUUCAGUCAAGGUUCCAUAAUUUGCUUUUUUUUUGAUGUUAUGGUUGAUUAUUAUUCAACUUAUCAUCUGAGGCCUUACAAAUAAUUUGCAAUUAAUUUACAAGUAAUUUCUUCCAGUAUUUUGUCUGAUACAAAAUAAAGGUGACUGGCCUAGGGUAGGCACUAUUUCCUUUUUGCUGGUCUCAUGGAACCUCAGCUGUCUUUUUGGAGUUCUUGAAAGGAAUUGCUAAUAGCUUGGAGAUUACUUAACCAUUUUUCUAAAUGUGUUGUCUAAAAUUGCAGAUUAUUUUUGUAAGCAUCCUACUUAAAUAGAUUGUUUCUUUCCUUAGUUUAGCUUGAUCAUUGGUUUGCAUGUUGUUAACAUGUGCUGGGUUUGGCUGGGAUAGAGCUAAUUCUCUUCACAGUAGCUGGUGUGGGGCUGUGUUUUGGGUUGGGUAUAUUCUCUUCCCUUGUUAACCACCUGGUUACAGCUGACAUUUUGGUAAAGAGCAAAGCAAAAACCAUGAGGCUUUGGUUUUCCUCAAAUGACUUGGGAACACUUUCCUUGCCCAGCUGAGAGCAAGUCCUUCCCCAACAAUCUUUCACGUAAGCUUUUUGUUUUUACUCUCCAUGGCUUCUUGACAGUUUUAGCUUAUAUUGUGUGUUAAUCUUUGUGUUGUUGAUUGUGAGAAAUAGAGACCCAAGGCCGGGUAAUUUCCAGUUUGAAUUUAUUAUAUGAUAAAAGCAAAUUCAGCACUGGGUGAUCAGGGGGGAGUUUGAGCAACUCUGAAUGCCUGUCACACCCAAAGCAGACAGUGUUCUAUAUUUAUUCUCAGCUACUUCAUGAAUAUUCAUUAUACAUAAGCAUAAACAUUACACAUUGUUAUGUCAGGAAUUCAACAGAUGUUUUUCUUAGACAGUGUAUAUACAUACAAGCAUCAAUAUAUAUUGUUAAGUCAGACAUUCAACAGAUGUUUUCUUAGACUUAGCUUGUUAUCUAUACAAAGUUAUAAAUUUUCAAGAAAGGUGUUAUUAUCUAGUUAACUAAACGAAGUCUCCUCACUAUAAAUUUUGUACAAGGUAAAAGGGAGGUAACUUGUUUUAUGUCUUUAUAGGGGCCCAAUUAAGUUUUGUGAUUUGUUUUUCUUUUCUCUCUCUAGGUUAUAUUGACCUUAUGCUGUUUUCUUUUUAAUUAGCUCAAAUCAUUCCCUUAGUUUAUUAGAUUCAUUUUAAUAAUUUAACCUAGAUUUUGCUUUUUUAAAAGGGGCAAGCCAUUGAAAUGUUUCAAUUUAAACAGACUCUUCCCUUCCUUUCUUGCUUUCUCACUGCAGGGGUCUAGUUGCAGCCUUGAUGUUUGUUGGAAAUAAAUAGGAUGGUUUUAUUACAAGCAGGGGUUUCCAUGGCUGCCUCAUGCCGGGGCACUUGGGAGCCAUUUUGUUUGAAGGACUGGGGAGCCAUUUUGUGGUUGGAGACUGGUGGACAGCUUGUGGUUCUGCUUGAGGUUGCUUAUUGCUGCUGCCUACCUGCUGCUACACACAGUUCUGCUUAGGUGUGAGGGCGAGCCUGGAAGAAUGUAAGGUGGUGAGAGCAGCCUGGGCUCACUGCAAGGGAACCAUGCGGCCUGGGUGGGGAAACAACCUGACAGGUGGAUGAGGACAACCAACAGGCUGCACCAGAAAGCAAAGCUCACCUUUUAAGGAAGAAAAGAGCGAGGGCUGGCAUGGGAGGAGCAAGGGAGUGGCUAUGUUAAAUUGAAGGGUCUUAAAAGGUCUUGUCCCUCCCAUCUAGGUGUGCUCGAGCUGGGUCACAAGUUCGAUGCACCCAGUAUGCUGUUAAAUAAAGUUCCUUGUUUCACUUUA